ensembl:rRNA 5S_rRNA 5S ribosomal RNA
GUCUACAACCAUACCACCCUGAAUAUAUCUGAUCUCAUCUGAUCUCAGAAGCUAAGCAGGGUUCUGCCUCGUUAUUACUUGGAUGGGAGUUUAUAGGCACGUACUUUGUUAUAGAUA